rnacentral:rRNA from 1 species
UGGCGGACGGGUGAGUAACGCGUGGGUAACCUGCCUUACACUGGGGGAUAACACUUAGAAAUAGGUGCUAAUACCGCAUAAGCGCACGAUGCCGCAUGGAUUUGUGUGAAAAACUCCGGUGGUGUAAGAUGGACCCGCGUCUGAUUAGCUUGUUGGCGGGGUAACGGCCCACCAAGGCGACGAUCAGUAGCCGGCCUGAGAGGGUGGACGGCCACAUUGGGACUGAGACACGGCCCAAACUCCUACGGAAGGCAGCAG